GGUAUGUCAUUCUUGCAUACGACUGGCUCAUCUAAGUGGAAAGCUCAUUACAUAAAUGGCCCCCAAAUCCCAUUUCUUGCAGCGACAUUGACUGACAAGUGUGAAGAUGAUUGAUGGGUCUGCUGAUAGCCUGUGCCAGUCAAUAAGUUUGCACUCUCUCUGCACCUGGACGCUUUCGCAGUGCAGUCUGCAGGCACUCACGCUGUACGUGUCGUAUCCAGGGAUCACUGGCUCUGUCGACGCACGGCAGUUUCCCCAUGGCUGAGGCAGAAGAAUAUUUUAUAACGUUCUGGACUGUACCAUACCCUCUGUUCCUGGCAGGACACGAAGGUUUGGAAUCCUGGUGAGACUCCAAAUCCCAGCUCGUGGAUAUAGGGAGGCUCGUCCUGACUAUGAAUCUGAACACGAAUCCCAGCCUCAAGAGUGGUCUCAUCUGUGGAGACAGCAACAGCAAGCCACAUUACCUCAGCAUGUUUGUAUGUUAAAGUACUGACUGUUCUAUAUCCAACUAUUCACCACAUUUCCACUGAAUACAUAAUGAAUAGUAUUCAGGUAAAGGCGUUGCAUUCUCAUUUUCUUUUCUCCCCUGCUGAUUAUCAUGCAUGCUGUAAAUCAUUAGAGGCUUCUUAAGAUUUUAUGUGCACUCAAACUGAAACAUUGAAAAUCAUUGAAAAAAAAGUCAC